GGGCUUCUGAGCUGUAGACUUCGGUCUGCUACCUCUUACCCAUGUCUUUUGAGUACCUUCGUUUCCUCGGCGGGUCCGCCCGCCGAUUGGACAACAUUCAAACCCUUUGCAGUUGCAAUCAGCGUCUGAAAAAACAUAAUAGUUACAACUUUCAACAACGGAUCUCUUGGUUCUGGCAUCGAUGAAGAACGCAGCGAAAUGCGAUAAGUAGUGUGAAUUGCAGAAUUCAGUGAAUCAUCGAAUCUUUGAACGCACAUUGCGCCCCUUGGUAUUCCAUGGGGCAUGCCUGUUCGAGCGUCAUUUGUACCUUCAAGCUCUGCUUGGUGUUGGGUGUUUGUCUCGCCUCUGCGUGUAGACUCGCCUUAAAACAAUUGGCAGCCGGCGUAUUGAUUUCGGAGCGCAGUACAUCUCGCGCUUUGCACUCACAACGACGACGUCCAAAAGUACAUUUUUACACUCUUGACCUCGGAUCAGGUAGGGAUACCCGCUGAACUUAAGCAUAUCAAUAAGCGGAGGAGGA
rnacentral:rRNA from 1 species